UUGCGGAUGUUUAUAAAUUAUAAAACUUCUAUCUGCUGUGUCAGAGCCAAUCCAAGCAGCUCACCAUAGAUAUUGCUAUUCACAUUUUGUCUGAUAUAUUACCAACAUCUUAUAUUCAGUAAAUAUCCAAAAAGCAACUGCUUGAUGAUGCAAAGCAAGCGGAACUAGAAGAGGGAAAUAUGACUCCUCAUGAUUGUCGAAAUCUGUUUAACAUCAUUUGAUGAGCUUCUAUGAUUAAUUAUUAAUUUGUGAUUACGUUUUGUAUUGUUUUGUGCUCGAUAUCUU
rnacentral:lncRNA from 1 species